AGGGGGGGGUGAAUUGGUUUCUUCUAAAUUUUUGGUGUUUAAAAAGGACUUUCUUAAUUGAGUGCGGUGGAUGCUUUCUUAGAUUACUUGAAUGAAUUAAGCUAGUGCAAGAAUAGAAGAUAAUGCAAGAGUAAAUGUAAAUACAAGCACAAACACAAACACAACAAUAUAUAGUGGUUCGGUGCUCUCCUUAGCACCUACGUCCACUCCCCAAGCAAUCCCUUGGGAUUUCACUAUAAUCUCGCGGAUUACAGUUGGAUUGUUUUCCGGGCUCACAAUCCAAAAACCUUUGUUGGUUUUACGGGCUCACCAACGAACCUAUACCCUUUGGUUUUCCGGGUUCACCAAAAACCUUUGUUGGUUUUGCGGGCUCACCAACGAACCUUUACACUUUGGUUUUCCGGGUUCACCAAAAACCUUUGUUGGUUUUGCGGACUCACCAACGAACCUUUACACUUUGGUUUUCCGGGUUCACCAAAAACCUUAGUUGGUUUUACGGGUUCACCAACGAACCUUUACAAGUAGUUUGAUAAACAAAAAGAAGGAUUCAAACUCCUAAAUGAGCAAAUGUAACAAUAUGAACUACAAAGAAGAGUUAGAGAAUAUUUAUCGCUUUGAAGUUGCUUCUCUCUUCUUUUUCAAGGAUGCUUCACUUCUUCAAGGGAGGAUGGAGCUCUUGAUGCCUCUUUGAAACUGCUCAAUCCCUUUCUUUGAUUGUUGA
rnacentral:lncRNA from 1 species